GUGUGCACAGGCGUUCAAGGUUCAAUUGAUCCUCGAGCACAAAGCCUUCAUACAACACCGCGGUUGAGGCGCGUCAAAUCUGAUGACAUUUUUCCUGAACCAAGCAGGCUGAACACGCGCACCACCACGGGCUCCAGCGCGGUGUGAAGAGGAAAGAAGAAAAGACAGAAUUGGAAACAGCCGCGCCAGGCUUCCAACGACCGUGUGUGUGUAUGUAAGUAUGUGAGAACACAUGUGUGAAUCCUCUUGUGGGAACUGCAAAAAGAAGAGAAUAAAGAGUGUGAAGCAGCUAGACUGCCGCAACCAAAUCAAGAGAGUGAAUUCUCAUUUCAAUCCGAAAAACUGGGAGAGAGUGAUGACAUGCGAGAGAUAAUAAAACUAGAAACACGAGAGAGGGCCACACGAAGCGCUUUCGGGUUUUUUCGCCUUCGCGCACAUUUUGCUUUAUGCGCGCGACUAAGUGAGCCUUGAUGAGCGCGAUGGCUCCCAUACAAAGGCCUUCGGCUUUGCUAGCUGGGAACGGUCAAAAGCCGAAGAUUUUAUAUUGACCUUUCGUUUUUUCUAUCUGUCUCUCGCUCUAAUUUGAGUGAUUUUCCCUUCGUGAGUAUCCACGAGCUCCCUCGUGUGGUUGUUGUUGUUGGAAGUUGAAACCGAACCCCCUUCGUGCGCUGCCAAAAUCAGCGAAGAACGAAAUCGAGUGGCUCAAGC